rnacentral:lncRNA from 1 species
GAAAUAGUCAUUUCACUGCCAUACCCAUUAAAAGAAAAGGAGAAAAAACAUCUGUGGCAGCUAAAUUGAUAUAAUAAAGUCAGCAGAUCAAAGCAAAAAGAUCAGAAAGAAAGAAACACAAAACAUAGAAAAAUGAAACUGGAGGAGUUUAAACAUGUUUUUUAUUUCCGGAAGUUUACAAUGGCAUAGGAGGUAGAGGAAAACGUUUUAUUAAAAACAUAUGAAGAGUUCAGACUGUUUCCUCUUAUACAAGGAAAUCAAUCACAGAAAGAAGCAAGGGUUGUAGCAAAGUGGAUUCCUCUGGAUGCCCAGCAGUGAGGGAGAGAUCCUGUCACAAGUGAGACCAGGGCAUGGUUGAUGCUCAGAAAUCUCUGAAGACUUGCCGGCUGUUAGAGAACUACUAGGCAUUGCACUUAAAAUACGGAAGCAGAACUUUGCUUGCUAUUAUUCAACUAUGGGUUAUGCUUGAUGGCUGUCAUGAAAUUCUGACAAAGAUUUGGAGAGAGACUUACAUAAAUUCCUGCAUCCUCAAUGACUGUGGGAAGGGCCUUCCUUCACUAAUCAAGCUCUUAUUAUUCAGUGUGAGAAUGAUCAGAGGACUGGAAAACAUGACCUGCAAUGAAAGAUUGAACUAAUUGGUUCUGUGCAAUCUGUGGAAGAGAAAAUGAAGCAGAGACAUGGUAAUAGUUUUCAAAUACAUAAAAGGCUACCGCAAAGAAGAAGGGAGCAUUCUGUUUUCUACAUGCAUAAUGGAUAAGAAAAAAAAACAGUGGGCCUUAUUUUCAGCAGAGAAGAUUCUGGCAAGACAUCAGGAUACUCUUUGGGUCAGCUAAGGACAGCAAAGCAGGGGAGUAGUCGUCUUGGGGAACCUCAAGCCUUAGAGUUCUUACAGGAUGGUUUAGACAAAGGUCCAUCAGGUUCUGGCCUGCUGUGGGUGACAUUUUAAGGUCCCUUCGAGCUGUAUUUUCCAUUUUCUCUCUUUCCAUUCUCAAUAUCACGUAUAUUUAUGGAGACUAUGUUUCUGUGAUAGUAAGCCUCCUGUCUCACAACACUGCACUUAAUGAGAAUCCUGUCAUUGCUGUCUGUAGUAAAAGGAUCAGGCCUUUCAGGAAGCAGUAUCAAUGGUGGUGUGUGGAUUAACAUUUCUGAUUUUUUUUUUCUCUUCUUUGUGCAUGUCAGACCUUACAGCAGCUUAAGCUCAUGGGAUGUAUCUCUGGGUGAAUAAAGUCUAAUACACGCAGUGAGUAUAGUUGCCU